rnacentral:lncRNA from 1 species
UCUGCCAUUUUCCUAUCUACUGUGCAACUCCAGGCAAGUCAGUUCACUUUUCUGAGCUCAGUCUCUUCUUUGGAAAAAGUCAAUGACAUAUGCUAUGUACCUGUUCCUUCUGUCUUGUCAACAAUGGUCACGUACCAGGCACAAGAUGCUCAGGUUUGCUGUCUCUAUGUAAUGUCUCACUACAUCUUCAGUUUUUUAAAUGAGGCAGCAGUUAAUAUUAUAAUGUCUAUUUUACAGGAGAGGAAAGCCUGAGGUUUCAAGAACUCGAGGUUCAGUACUGGGUCUUAGAGGAGGACUUUGUUUUAGCUUUGAUGCUCUCUGCUAGGCACGGAGACCCCUGAGCAGAAUGACAAGACCUUCUGUUUGAGUAACUCAUGUUCUGACCAGAGAGACAGACGUGUCAGCAAGAGGUCACAAUACAGUGCGCUCAGAUUCUUCAGGACUUGGAGCCCUUGUUCCAGAAUGGAAGGCCAGGGAAGUCUUCCAGGAGUAGGUGGCGCCUCUGCCGACCUGAAGGGUGAGGAAAAAGUGUCCAGUUGCAGAAGAUGGAGAAACCUGAAGACCAAAAUUUAUACCACCCCUAAGGAGAGCAGCCAUCUUCCUCCCUGUCCUGAGCAGGAAUAAACAAAGACUGAACAAACCCUUGCAGCGGGGCGGGUGGCGGGAGAUGUUUCCAAGCUUUACUCAAAGAAAACGGUGAUGCCUAUGUACAUGUAAGUGAUUUGCCACCUGUGCAAAAGUCUGCACGAUAGCCCUGGGGGAGAGUUCCUGAGACACCCGAGCUCGAGUCUGCAACCCUCAUCUCCUUUCUGUGCCGACUCAGGAAGAAAAUAAGCCCCAGCAGGAAACUCACCCUUUGAAAUGUCAGAGUCCACGAAGUAAGGGCGAGGUGCCCUAAAGCAUCCAAAUGGCAUCUCCUGCCCCAAGAACUUAUCCAAGCCCUCAUCCUGACACUGGGGAGGCUGAGUUACCUCGGUAGGUGCUCCCCGCAAGUGGGAGACAAGCAGCGGUCAUUGGUUUUCAUUUGCUGAAAUCAGCAACUUAAUCCUAACUUAACCAGAGCCUGAAUCUCCCCCUUCCAAGGCAAGGCCUUCCCUGGGAAUGAUUGAAUUUCGCAGGGUGCAAUAAAACAAAGGGCUUCUGCUGAAUCAGGCGCCAGACUCAUAAGCCUGUAAAUCUCCCGCUUACUCUUCAAGGCGGGGAUGUUAUCUCCACCCCAGCCAUCCCCGUCAUGUCAUGGCGCCUGCUGUUUCCACAACCUCUCCUGCUAAGAAGGUGACCCUAG